CCUGAGAAACCCGAAAGUUCGAAUGGGGAGAUUCAAUGUCAGCGAUUUUGGUACUUGUGCGGUUCGCGAUGCCGGAGACCUCGGUCUCAUGGCACGCGUCCGCAUGUUUUUUAUUGCCUGAAUCGUCGGCGUGCACUUCUCCCCUAGUAGGACGUCGCGACCCGUUGGGUGUCGGUCUACGACCCGGGCGGUAGACUGUCUCGUGUUCGCUUCAUCGCGUUACGCGGGGCAGACCCCUGUGUGUCUGGCCGGCUGCUCGGCGGUACUCGCACGAUAUCUGGCCGCAAACAUUCGAACUGCGUCCGGCCCGUCGCAAGCGAGGCAAGUGUUUCCCGGCUGUACGGAUCUAAUGCCGUCACCGGGCCUUGCCAGCUGUUGGUUGACGGUGCCCUAGGACAGGCCAAUAAAAUUAUGAUAUCGGUCGGCGACGCUACUGCUUUGGGUACUUUCAGGACCCGUCUUGAAACACGGA
rnacentral:rRNA from 1 species